GACCGCGAAUGUACGAGCGAGGUCGUUCGACAAAUAACCGAUGAUAUCUGACUAGACUCGGCUCGAUUUAACGCCGAUGCUAUUUGAGACGGAAUUAAAUAUUUAAUGGUAUGUCGAACUUGUCCGAUUUACAUCGCGCACGUAUAUAUUUUCCGCGUGCAGCGCUGGGCAUCGGGCGCGCAGCAAAGUCCAGCUGAUUAAAUCGGCGGGCUUGAAAUUUAGCGCGGAGUAUCCAAGGCCUCAUCUAAGGUCGCAUUUAUAACGAACGUUCAUGAUCGAAUGAUCGUCAGGCCGGAAGUAAUUAACGCGCGUUCCUAAUAACGCGCGUUGCAGUAUCACGCGAUGCGUGUGGACGAUAUCGUGUAAAUUGGAAUAGUCAAACAGUUGUUGGAAUCCGUAGCAGCGAGAAGAAAACGAUACGUCAUUGGUUUUUAAAUUAAUACAAAAUUUAUCGCGAGGAAUUUCUAUUGCAUUGGAAUAGUCAAACAGUUGUUGGAAUCCGUAGCAGCGAGAAGAAAACGAUAUUAUCUCUGUAAGGUAGACUGGAACUAGGACUGGAACUAAGAUAGUGAAACUUAAAGGAAGUGAAAUUUACAUAUAUUAUUGUUGUCCGUCAACUUGAUUACAAAUUAUUCACGAUAUUAUCAUAUAAUUUGUAAUAUUAUCGAGAGAAUUAGCAUUAUCUCAAAGUCAAUGAACAAUAAGAAAAAUAGGUGUUCCUGAAAUUGUCCAAGUUUGACUCAUCUCGGUGUAUUUUAAAUAUAAUUUUUUUCAUUAAUGCUU